rnacentral:rRNA from 1 species
AUGCACGCUGGCGGCGUGCCUAAUACAUGCCAGUCGAGCGAACGGACGAGAAGCUUGCUUCUCUGAUGUUAGCGGCGGACGGGUGAGUAACACGUGGAUAACCUACCUAUAAGACUGGGAUAACUUCGGGAAACCGGAGCUAAUACCGGAUGAUAUUUUGAACCGCAUGGUUCAAAAGUGAAAGACGGUCUUGCUGUCACUUAUAGAUGGAUCCGCGCUGCAUUAGCUAGUUGGUAAGGUAACGGCUUACCAAGGCAACGAUGCAUAGCCGACCUGAGAGGGUGAUCGGCCACACUGGAACUGAGACACGGUCCAGACUCCUACGGGAGGCAGCAGUAGGGAAUCUUCCGCAAUGGGCGAAAGCCUGACGGAGCAACGCCGCGUGAGUGAUGAAGGUCUUCGGAUCGUAAAACUCUGUUAUUAGGGAAGAACAUAUGUGUAAGUAACUGUGCACAUCUUGACGGUACCUAAUCAGAAAGCCACGGCUAACUACGCG